rnacentral:rRNA from 1 species
CCUACGGGAGGCUGCAGUAAGGGAUAUUGCACAAUGGGGGAAACCCUGAUGCAGCAACGCCGCGUGGGUGAAGAAGGCUUUCGAGUCGUAAAACCCUUUUCUAGGGGAAGAGGAAGGACAGUACCCUAGGAACAAGUCUCGGCUAACUACGUGCCAGCAGCCGCGGUAAGACGUAGGAGGCGAGCGUUAUCCGGAUUCAUUGGGCGUAAAGGGCAAGUAGGCGGUUGUCAAAGUUGGGCGUGACAUCUCCUGGCUCAACUAGGAGAGGUCGUUCAAAACUAGGCAACUAGAGGGCAGAAGAGGAAAGCGGAACUCCUGAUGUAGCGGUGGAAUGCUCAGAUAUCAGGAAGAACACCAGUGGCGAAGGCGGCUUUCUGGUCUGCACCUGACGCUGAGAGGCGAAGGCUAGGGUAGCGAACGGGCUUAGAUACCCCGGUAGUC